rnacentral:rRNA from 1 species
GCCCAGACUCCUACGGGAGGCAGCCGUGGGGGAUAUUGCACAAUGGGGGAACCCCUGAUGCAGCGCCUCCUCGUGGGUGCAGCAGCGCCUCGGCGCGUCCAGCCCUGUCAUCCUGGAAGAAACUGCCGGUACCUGCCUCCUCAGCCCCGUCUCCCUCCGUGCCCUCCUCCGCGGUAAUCCGUCUGAUGCGAUCUUUCUCCGGAUUUAUUUGUUUUAAAGGGUGCGCAGGCGGCACGGCAAGCCGGCGGUCAAAUCGGGGGGCUCAACCCCGCCCAGCCGUCGGAACUGCCGGGCUAGAGUGGGCGAGAAGGGCGCGGAAUGCGUGGUGUAGCGGUGAAAUGCAUAGAGAGAAAGCAGAACGGCGAUGGCGAAGGCAGCGCACCGGCGCCCUACUGACGCUCAGGCACGAAAGCGUGGGGAGCGAACAGGAUUAGAUACCCUCGUA